rnacentral:rRNA from 1 species
AACGAACGCUGGCGGCAGGCUUAACACAUGCAAGUCGAGCGCCCCGCAAGGGGAGCGGCAGGCGGGUGAGUAACGCGUGGGAAUCUACCCAUCUCUACGGAAUAACGCAUGGAAACGUGUGCUAAUACCGUAUACGUCCUUCGGGAGAAAGAUUUAUCGGAGAUGGAUGAGCCCGCGUUGGAUUAGCUAGUUGGUGGGGUAAAGGCCUACCAAGGCGACGAUCCAUAGCUGGUCUGAGAGGAUGAUGAGCCACACUGGGACUGAGACACGGCCCAGACUCCGACGGGAGGCAGCAGUGGGGAAUAUUGGACAAUGGGCGCAAGCCUGAUCCAGCCAUGCCGCGUGAGUGAUGAAGGCCCUAGGGUUGUAAAGCUCUGUCACCGGUGAAGAUAAUGACGGUAACCGGAGAAGAAGCCCCGGCUAACUUCGUGCCAGCCGCCGCGGUAAAAC